rnacentral:lncRNA from 1 species
AUCUAAUGGUAUGGUCUUCUUCAAUGUUUAUGGAGAAGACUACGGAUUUAUUGGACUUUGACUUGAAGGCUUCACAACUUGUUCUCAAAUCAGUUACAAGUCUUUUGUAAUUUGGUAAGAAGUGUUGUAAAAAUAUACUAAAAGUCAUUUUUUUUAAAAGAAAAUGUAUUUAAUUUUAUUUAUUAAAAAAAUUGUUAAUUCAUUUUAAUGAGAAUCUAUAUGGGCAAUAUUUGUAACAUAAUAUUUUAUAUUGUGCUUGUGCAUCUUUUAUUCUACAUAGUAGCUGAUUAGGUGUGUAGAAUUCGACUUACAUACGAAAGAUCUAAUCAUCGAUUCUUUUGAAAUAUAAGUUUUUAGUUCAUAGUCUUAGAUAAGAUUGGACACACCAUCGGUAAAACUGUAGCACAAUGUUUUAGUAGAUUUAUCUUGAUUAUGAAAAAUUGUAUAAUUUGGACUCAUUGUGUUAAUACACUGUGUCUAUUGAACGUGACCAUUUUGGGAAUCUUAUUUUUAUACUGAUUUUAUAAAACAAUUAAUAGCCCAUGGUUAUUAUAUAAGUCCUUAUACUCUUAAUCAUGAAAUAAUUAUUAGAUACGUGCAUUUAAUGUAAAUUAUUUCGAUUCACAUAGAGUGAGAUUUUUUUGUGGGUCAACAAACUUAGUGGAUUGGAUGUCGCAUUACGUGUACGGUGAAUAUUAACUAUUACUGGAACUUGUGUCUCAAUUAAUUAUAAUUGUCAAUAAUUAUUUUGAUUGAUGAUCGUAAUGUGAAGAGAUUAAUGAGUAUUUAAUAACAUUGAGAUCAAAAUAUAAUUUUGAGUUAAAGACGGAAAUGCAAUUAUAAUUAUUUAAUGGUAUGAAUUAUAAUUUAUGAAAAAUAUAAAUUUAUUUCUGAUUGAAUUAUGUUUUCCUAUUUCCAUAGAAAGUCCAAUCCUUAUUGACUCCUGAAGUCCCUACCAUAGCCUAUAUAUAUGUGUACAUUUGCAGAUCUCUAGGAUUGCACAAAUAUUCAACAUAUAUAAAAUUUUGUAUGGAAACAGCAAAGUAGGUAAAAUAUUAGCGUCCAUCCACUAUUCGUGAUUAGAACACAUAGAAGAAAUAUGAUUGAAGAUCGCAAGGUCAAAUUGAAUCCGUAUUCAUUGUUCGUUCUGAUUCGGAUUUUGAUUUUAAAAUUUAGUCGAAAUCAAGCUAGAGAAAUCUCGCAGAUAUAACCCUAAAUCUACAAUAUAGAGUUUCACAAAAAGAAAGUUUUUUGUUUAAUCUAUAUGAGUUUUUCAUUGGGUCUUGGGAUUCUGGUCCCAACAAAAUGAAAAUGUUAACUUUGAAUCUCUGGCUUCAAGCAUGAUAGAGAUUGACAGAGUUUUGUUGUGAGCGGUGGCCUUGAGAUUAAUGGCUUUGGUGAGAAAGAUCUGCGGGGCAUUAGAGGCUACAAUUCGAGAUUCUUUCCCUUUGCUUGACUUAGUUGGCUUGCGAGAAAAUUCUUUUGGGGCCUUCUUGACUUCAAUCUGACAUGGCUUUCCCUUUGUUUGAUUUGAUAGCUCAAACGAGAGAAGUCUCCAGGGCUUUCGAGUCUUGGAUCUGAUAAAAGUCUAUCUCCUUGAUUUCUGCCAUUGUUGUAUGAGACUUGUGUUACUACAUGAUUUACUUCAAUGACAAAGCUAUAAAUCGAGUUUUCUUUCCCUACAUGAGGAUUUGUGUAGGUAGAUAUCUUUUUUUUAUGUGAUCUCCUUGAGCACCCCAAUGCGACAAAUUACAAUUUGUAAUUGGCUAAAAUUUUCGAUGCUUACAAUCACUACUACCAACUACCAUUGUUACCCUCCCUCCCUAUAGCAAACCGAACCUCAACCUCAACCCCAAAACCUUCCUACUCCAUAAAACCCCUCCCCUUCCCCCCCUCUCUCCAUCCAUGUUAAGGGCUAGAGAGAACAGUGGUGGUGGGAAGGGUGGGGUUGUGAUAGUUGUUGGUGUAGGGAAACCCAUUGAAAAACGUGUAUGGAUUAAACCAAAAAGUAAUAUUCUUUUCGUGAAUCCUUAUACUAUGGAAUUAAGUUUAUACAUGUGAGAUCUCUCUAACUUUAUUUCGACUAAAUUUCUCAAAACCGCAAUCAAAAGUAGAACUAACAAUGAAUACGGACUCAAUUUGACCUCAUGUUCUUAUACCGUAGUAUUUGUUUUGAUCAUGAACAGAGUGUAAGCAGUAAUACGUAAUAUAUUUCGCUCUCUCUUUACGAUUAUGUGUGUGUGUAUGUGCGCACGCGUCGCCCAUCUAUAUAUAGUUAGAAUAUCUAAGUGUUUGGCCUUAGAGAGCUACAAAUAUACACAUAUAUAAACUUCGGUAAGGACGUCAAGGAGUUAAUAAUGAUUGGACUUCCUAUGGAAAUAAGAAAACCAAAUUCAACCCAAAUGAAAUUCUUAUUUUUCAUAAAUUAUAAUUCAUCCCACUAAAGAGUUAUUAUUGCACUUUCUCCUUUAUCUCAAAAUUACAAUCGAGCUCCAUAUUAUCAAAUGCUCAUUUAUUUAUCCUCAUUAAGUUACACAUACCCGUCGAUGAAAAUAAUUACUGACAAUUAUAAUUAAUUAACAUUUUAAAAAAUUUCUUGAGACCUUUCACUUAACUUAUUUGAUAUAUCCAAUACAAAAUCCAUCUGCAGGGGUUAACAUAAUAAAAAAUUAUAAGUUAAGGGGUUAUGAUCAAUCCCUAAACUAAGACGCAAAUUAAGAGCAAAAGUACUCAUAAUAACUAUGGGAGAUAUAAGCCAGUACAAAGUCAAUAUCCCAAAAACGGCCUCAUUCAAUAUACAUAGAGUAUACUAGCACAACUAUACCAUUUUUCAGAGUCAAACUAUAUAUUUUUUUGUAGUCAAGACAAACCUACUACAGUAUUUUGCUCCAGUCCUAUCGAUGGUGUGCCAAUUCCAUCUAAGAUUGUAAACUAAAAAACUUAUAUUCCAUAAGAACUGAUGAUUAUAUCUUCCAUAUGUAAAUUGAACUCUACACACCAAAUCAACUACUAUGUAGAAUAAAAGACACAAGUACAAUAUAAAUAUUAUGCUACAAAUUAACAGUGCCUACAAAGAUUCUCAUUAAAAGUAAUAACAAAUUCUAUUAAUAAAUAAAAUUCAUCCAUUGAAAACAUGGCUUUUAAUAUUUUAUUCAACAAUCUACCACUUAGACUCAAAGCCAUGAUGCUAAGCAUCUCGCUACCAUACAUCUCAAACACGAGUUAGACUUUUUGAAAUCUUUAUUAUCUGUACUGAUUGCCAGGUAAACCAACAUAUAAUCUCUAGUUCUCUUGAGGCACUUGAGUAUACUCUUUACCGCAAUCUAAUAGUCUUUUCAUGGGUUAGACUCAUAUUUGCUAACCAUGCCAACGACAAAACAGAUAUCCGGUUCAGUGUAUAGCAUAGCAUACAUGAGGCUCACUACAGUUGAAGCAUAAGAAACUUCUUUCAUCUUCUUUAUUUCUUUAAGUGUUUUGGGAUACUAAGCCUUUGAUAGAAUGAUACCUUGUCUCAAAGAAAGAAAAUCUUUCUUGGAAGCCUACACUAUUAAAACAUGCAAGUAUCAUAUCGAUAUAAAACCACUUGUGAUAAGCCCAACAUCUUUUGCUUGUGAUCUCGCCAAAGCUUUAUCCUAAGAAUGUGACUGCCUUCUCACAAGUUCUUCAUAUGAAAUUGGAUGGACAACCAUACCUUAAAAAAAAGUAACAUCCCUACAUCAUUUUUGAUGAGCAAGUUAUCAUCCACGUAUGGUACUAGGAAUACCACCACGUUUUUGUCCCGUCUUUUAUAAACACAUAACUCGUCAGGGCAUUAAUUAAAUUUAUAAAAUUUAAUAACUUGAUUGAAAUAAAUAUUCCAAGACCUGAAUGCUUGUUUAAGUUCAUAAAUAGACUUCUUAAGAUUGCACAACAUUUGCUUUUGACCCUUUGCUACAAAUACAUAUAGUUGCAUCAUAUAAAUGCAUCAAGAUUCUAGUUAAAGAACAUAGCCUUGGCAUCCAUCUGCCAAAUUUCGUAAUUGAAAUGAUUCGCAAUGAAUAAGAAAAUUUUGAUAGACUUGAGCAUGGCUAUUGCCAAAAAAGUCUCCUCAUACUCGAUCCCCUCUUUAUGAGUGAACUCUUUCGCCACAAGCCUAGCCUUAAAGGUUUAUGCCUUUACGUCUACCCAUCUCUUCUUCUUAUAGACCCACUUUCGUCUAAUGGAUUUUAUCCCUUUGGGUGGUUCUACAAGAUUCAAGAAUUGUUAGAGUACAUAUACUCCCUGUGACAAUUCAGGUAAUUUUAUCAUUUAUAUAAAGUAUAAUUAUUUUAUUUUAGGUUGGUUGUGGGUUAAAUUGAAAGUAUUAAACUUUAUAAGUUAAUUGGAAUGUUAACUAUAACUUCAGGGGUCACAUGUGUAAUUAACACUAUAUAUGUCAACUUUUGACAUAUGAGUCCAGAGACUUAACUUUCCCAUUUCUUUUCUUCGUUCCUUCUCCUCUCGGUUUCUUCACUGUGCGAGGAGCAUAGAGCUUCGCCCCUUGCCAUUUUUUUUGCUAUAAAUUAGAUUUUGUGAUCACUUUUGAGGAUACAAGGUGUAGGAUUCUUCAAGCUAUUCUCAAAAAAUCAAAAGAUCCUCUUAUUUGAAGCAUAUUUGGAAACCCUGGGGUUGAUUCACUUCAUCAUUUGGUAGGGAUUUCUUUACCCAUUUAAAUGUUUAUUUGUUAGAUAACCUAGUUUAUAUCUUGUACUCAUAUUAAAUUAAACUUUAAGGUAUUGUUGUUAGUUUAUGGAGUAAUAUUUUGGAAAAUCAAUUUCUUGUUAAUUAGGUGUUAAAUGAGCAUGUAUUAUUAGUUUGAUGUUAAAUGAGCAUGUAGUAGGCAUGAAUAUGACUAUUGUGGGUGAUGAGGGUAAAAGUCCUAAUUUAUAUGAAUUUGAAAAUUUGACUAUGAUGUUGUUGGUAGUUGAAUUUUUUGUAUAUGUAUAGAAAUGUUGUUUAUGAAAGAAAAUGGGUAAAGGAAAAUAUAUAUUCGGGCGUCAACCUUCUUAUUCUUUUCUUUAAGGAUUUGAUGAAUCUUAAAAUUCUAGAUCUUUGUUGAUAUGAUCUUGACUUCGUCUAGAUAGGCUGUCAUUCUGGCAUCUUUAGUGAGGUAAUCUCCUUAAACAUAGUUUACCACAAGUUAGGAAUCACUGAAGGCAUCCAAAGAUUCUACUCCCAAUUCUGAUGCAACCCUUAGUCUGGCGAAGAGGGUUUCAUAUUCAACUUCAUUGUUGGUGGCUUUGAAUCUGAUACGUAUGGCUUAUUUUAUCUUCUCACCUGAAGAUGUUUGGAGAACGAGUCCUGCACCACAACCAUGUUGGUUGGAUGACCCAUCAACAAAGAGCUUCCACCUGGCGAGAUCGCCAUCUUGGCUUAGCUUUUCUGGAGUUUCCACCUCGAGGGGGGUUAUCUCUGGCUCUAGAGUAGCGUCAUAUGUAAACUCAACUAUGAAAUCAGCCAAAGCCUGUGCUUUGAUUUCCAUCCUUGGUUAGUAAUGGAUGUGAAAUUUGCUCAGUUCCAUAGACCAUUUGAGGAGUCGUCCCAAGGUGUCAGCUCGUCGGAGAAUCUACUUCAAAGGUUGAUCUGUCAGCACAGCAAUGUAAUGAGCCUAUAAAUAAUGGCGAAACUUUCUAGCGGCGAUCAAAAAGGCAUAAACGAGCUUUUCAAUCUUCAAGUAUCUAGUUUCAGCUCCCAUGAGGACUUUGCUGACAUAGUACACUAGUUUUUGAACUUUGUCCUCUUUUCGGAUAAACAUUGCACUCAUUGCUGUUAGCGAGACGGAUAUAUAUACGAUGAGUUCCUCGCCUAUUAUAUGAACUGUGAGCAAUGGGAGGAGACCUGAUGUACUCCUUAAGCUACUAGAAUGCCAUAUGGAAUUCUUUUGUCCACUCAAAGGUUCUGUUCUUCCUCAAGAUCUUAAAGAAUCGUAAACACUUGUCCGCUGAUUUGGAGACGAAUCUAUUAAGAGCGGUUACUCGCCUAGUUAAUUGCUGCACUUCAUGUACGUUCCUGGGCGAACUCAUUGCAAGUAGAGCUUGAAUCUGGUAUGGGUUCGCCUUAAUCCCUUGUUUUGUCUCCAAGGAACUUUUUCGACGACACACCAAAUAUGCACUUGGAAGGAUUCAACAUCAUGCGGUUCUUUCUUAGGAUGCCAAACGUCUCUUCUAAGUGGGCGAUGUGAUCAGAUGCUCUUACACUCUUGACCAGCAUGUCGUCUAUGUGGACCUCCAUAGUCUUCCCAAUCAUAUCUUAAACAUCUUAUUGACCAAUCUUUGGUAGGUCGCCCCCGUAUUCUUUAACCCCAAAGGCAUGACCUUGUAGCAGUAUAAUCCUCUCUCCGUGAUAAAAGAAGUCUUCUCCACGUCGGGCGGGUGCAUUUUGAUUUGAUGCUAACCUGAGAAGGCGUCCAUGAAGCUAAGGAGCUCAUGCUUAGAUGUUGCAUCAACGAUCAAAUCAAUUUUGGGCAGAGAAAAACUGUCUUUUAGGCAAGCCUUGUUGAGGUCGGUAAAGUCAACACUUACUUUCCACUUCCUUCCUUUUUAAGGGGCGAUGACAACAUUGGCGAGUCAAUCCGGAUAGUGAGAUUUCCUAAUAACAUUGGCUUUGAUGAGCUUAGCCACUUCUUCUUCUAUGACUUUCAAGUGUUCUAGGGUAAACUUUCUUCUCUUUUGGCGAACAAGAGAAUGGUUAGGGUCGAUGAACAACUUGUGAACGGAGACAUGGGGAUAUAUCCAUGGGACAUCUCCUUUCGACCAUGUGAACACGUCGUAAUUUUUCUUCAAAAAUUCAACCAAGGAAUUUCGUAUUUAUCUUGUCUAAUGCCAAGAUGACUAGGAUGUCGGCGGAGCUUCCAUUGUCAAUCAAGAUUCAUUGCACGUUGAAAUUGGCGAUCAUAGCAGAGACGACCAGCGCAUCGUCAUGAGGCAGGUGCAAGCCUCUUAGAUUGUGUAUGUGUGUUUGUACCUUUUUUUUGUAGAGCAAGCGGCCUUUUUAUAGAUGGAUAAUGGAGAGCCGUGUGAAGAGAUUAUAGCCUGAUCGUCAAACGGCUAAGUAUAGAAAGAGAUCCCGAAGAUCCCGGAAUAAUAUUAAGAUAUGUCAUAUGGAGAAUAAACCGCGAUUAUAGGCGAUGUGGCAGAGAAGUCCCACAGAGACGGAGUCUUCAGGUAGGCGAGAUAAAUAUCCUCGCCCAUUGGCGAUGUUGAGAACAAGCGACAAACUCUCAAAGAUUGGCAUUGUGAGCACUGGUGGAGAUAAGGUCUGGUGGUCCUCUCAUCCUCACAGUGAAAGGCGAGGUGAAGACUUGGGAGAGCACUGGUGACAUGAACUGUGUAGUAGCGAGGUGAACAACUUAGUAUAAUUUAUUCCUUAUCAACAAGAAACACCCAUAUAGCCUAAUCUGUCCCAAUUAAAAUUAUUUGGACCAAAUUGAAACGCAUCUCAAAUUACAGAAGUGAAAAUGUAAGUUACCUUACAUAAAUUAUA